AAGAAAAAAGAGGGCCCCGAUUUUGACAGCCACUCUAGAUGGCGGUACACUGCGCCAUAGGUUUUGUGGUGACUGAAUUGUCAAAUAUUAACUUUUGACUACCAGAGUUACCGCAUAAUAUACGGAGCUGUCCAGCGCCAUCUUCACUAGCUGUCAAACUCCAAGCAUCAAUUUGUCUUACACUUUAGACACUUAGAGUCGGACCAAGAUAACUCUGCAUGCCAUUUGCAAUGAUGUGUGGCAAUGUCAUCAUUAAUGUCAAAUUUCUAUGAAAAUAUGACGUUAAUAAUGACACUCCCCCACUGUCCUGUCCAAGCCAGUGCAAAGUUAGCUUAGAUGGACUCUAGUAAAAUAAACGAAUCUUUGAUUCAAAGUGGCGUAAUAUAUAUUUGGUCCUAUAGAACUAAAAAUAUAAAUAUAAAGCAAUAAUAUACAUAUCUGUAUUGAUGUUAGCUUUAAUAUGAUCAAACGCUAAGCGAUUGUUUACUGUGUUUAAUGUGAAAUGCCUCUACAUUUUUGGCCGACUUUAAAACAAGGAGGUUAUUGAUUCGAACGUAUUUUUUUAAAUUUAUAUUUGUAUGUUAAACAGAAACUGGCAGCCUGUACACAGAUAGUUCAAUGGUUUGGAAGGAAACGUUUUAACACUUCUAACCAUCAACAACCUAUCAACGUGCUCACUAGCGCCACUGGUAAAUAAUUGGGACUAUUGAAAUUUAACAAUAGAUAUUUAAAAAAGGGGGCCGCUAAAUACUGUAUUUUGUAUUGAAGUACCUUUUGAAUACAUUAUAAUAGUUUUUACGUUGCUGGAUUCGACAAUCUAUGCGUCCAAUGUAUUCAUAAUCAAAAUCCAAUCCAGUGUAUUCAAAAGGUAUUUAAACACUAAAUACAACACAAGUGGCCCCCUUUUUUUAAUAUCUAUCGUUAAAUUUAAAUAAUUACAAUUAUUAAGCGCUGGCGCUAGUGAGCACGUUGAUAGGCUCUUAAUGAAAUAAAAAAUCGCCGAAGAAAAGCAGAAGACAUUUUUUUGUCAACUGACGAUUUAAGCUAGAAGUCGUUAAUAAAAAGUGUUAUAAAGUAGUAAGGACAAUACGAGUGAGCGUGGCUGGCCUUCACAUCGGGUCCUAUUUACACAUCGAUUAGUGUUUAAUAAGCACUUAGCGCACCAGCGACGCUCUCGGCGGUUGAACGCAGUCGCCGUGGCCGAAAACGGCUUGGAGCAUGAUGAUGAUUGAUGACCUAUAUGCCAUACAUACGUAUUGACAUUACUACUCUUUAUUUUUUUUUUAUUAUACAGUGUCCCACUACUGGGCAAAGGCCUACUACUUAUUUUGAAGUAAAAACCGUUUGGAUAUCUCUGAGUACAGGCACAUCGCAAUCCUUAACUCAGUUUGCCAUAAUGUCUUAAGUAGAUCUCAAUAAUGAUAAGUUGUAUAAUAGCUAUGCGUUUUGCAUGUUUUUUUUUAAAUAAUAAUUCUUGCACAAUAUCUAGGUUUAGAAUAAGGGAAUGAAUUGUGAUAGAUAUCUCGAUGUAAGAUGUACUUAAGCAGUUAGGUAAUGCGAGAGAUGUGUGCUUUAUUAGACUUAUAAACUUAGAGCUUUCUCAUUUUAUUGGCACCCUUUGAGAAAUUAAACUGGGCCUUAAUAUGUAUACAUACCUAUGGCUACAUUUUUACCGAUAUUUAAUUUGGGCAUUUGGCUGAUUUUUAUUUGAAUUAACGCGUUUUUUUCCAAUAGCAUUCUCAAAAGGGUCACAAAUCUAAUGUAACCCAGUAGUUUUUGCAGUAUGUUAAAAAAAAAGUUAAGAACAAGGGCCAUUUGCAUCAACCACAUUUGACAGACUGAUCAACGUCAGCCGGCGCGCCACUAUGAAACUUUCCAUACAUACAAAUUUAGCGAACUCUUUAACGAUACAAACAGUUUGGUGCAACCGACCCUAAGAAACGAUUUUUGAUAAACAAAGCGUUAAAAAUAAAAAUUUGGCAAAUGUAACAACCAACAAACAGUUUUUGAAGUUGUUAUAGAAUACCGAAGAUAUUGUUCUAAACAUGCUGACUGAGCAGCUUAUCAAAAUCAUGAAAGCCGUAAUUUAGAGCAUGCAUACGAAAGUAUAAUAUAUAUUCUAAUAAAGGGAACUUUGCAGAGUUUAAUCUCGAUAAAAGCAAAGCAGUCAAUAAUUUAAAGAAGCAAUAAUAUUUUAUAUUAUGUUUUGUCCCGUUAGCCAGGAGACACCGGUGUUAAAGUUAGAAAAUUACUUAUAAACAUAUUAAAGUAAUUUUAGAGCCAAUAAAAUGGGGUUUCCGUAAAGUGACCAAGAAGGUUUAGCGGCUUCACAAUAUUUUUUAAAAGCCGGUAAUAUCAUUUUAAAAUUCUUAAAUUUAGAAAUAUGAUUCAUUCAAUGUUAUUAAUAUAUUACACAUCUCUCGCAUCCACGCAUUUAUGAUUGAGGAAGGCAGCUUAUUGAUUUUAAACUACCUCCCCCCAAGUAUUCGAAGUAAUUUUUUUUUACAUUUUUAUACUCCUUUUUUACACCAAAAUGAUGCAGUAUUAUAUAAACAGUUGUGUACUUGUAUGUACCCAGUUUUACAUGAUGUUGAUGUCGUAUCUACAAUUAUAUUGUCAUGAAUUUUGAAUUUUUAUUCAUAUAUUUUAAAUUUUAAUUAAUGAAUCCUUGCGCAUGUCCGCGAAUGACACGUGUUUCUCUAAAAGUGACUGAACAUUUAAGCUCCACGGUAUAUCAGUUAUUUAUUUAAUAAAUAUGUAAGUUACUUAUAGUCAGAGAGACAGCUUAACAGUCACACGGACCCGUCACCAUAUCCGCAACGGGUACUGGUAUCAGUAGUUUUUGUUGAUAAUAAAUUGUAAUACAAAUAAAAAAGUUGUAUGUAAAACUUAUACUUGUUCUAGUUUCUUCGUAUGGGAGUGACUAGGUGCGUGUGACUCUUAAAUAGGUGUACGGCCCCGUACAUGCGUUUACUUUGGCUGUCAAAAGUUAGCGCCGUAAAACCCAUUAAAAUUACAAAUGAUAUUACUAAUGAAAGGAUAUAAUCGUGAUGAUACUUUGAAACUGGCAUGCGUCAAGUUCAACCAUAUCAGGAUACUUUGGACUAAGUGAACGGAUCAUCACAAUUUUUGUGCCAAUACUAUUAUUAUUUUAUUGUAUACACUUUGGCAGCAAGCAUAAUAAGCACUUACUACACUCUGGCAAUUAUUUCUAUACUCACGAAUGUCUUAUUUCCACACUCUUGUAUCGUUACUCAAUAGUGUAAUCUAAUGCGUAGGUUCAUAAGAGCCUGGCCGUCGCCACACAAUGGAGGUAUAAUUUGUACUGUACUAUCCAAAGUUUUCAUGGAAUCAGCGCCAGCUUUCGUGAAAAUUCGGCCUACAGUAAUUUUAUUCAUUACAUAUUUAUAUUUUAUGCGAAGUUUUAUAGCACGCAAUUGCGAUUUUUUAGUAUAACCAUGCUUUUAAAGUAUGCUGUGCAAGCUUUUACGUACAUGUUAUAAUGAUAUUAUUAUGUUAUAAAACCAUUCCUUUAAAAAUAAUUAAGCCAUAUAAAGUAUUUAUCUAAGCAUUCGUGCGUAUGGAAAUACUUGUUGGAGGAACCUAUAUAUCACACUGAGAGAUCUCGAUUUUGUAUAUAAUUUUUGUAUAUUUAAGUUUUAGAACCAAACGUUGCUAUCGCUCAAAUUCCUUGACAAGUCGCCGAUUCGGAAUUUUAACUCACACUGGAAAAAAAUUACGUUCGACUUUUUAUUGCUUUUUCGACCCGUGACCCAGGAGACACCACUGAUAUAGUAUCUAGAUGUUAUUCAAAGCUUAUGGACCAUAUGAUGCCAUGAUAUCCACUGCAUUUAGUUAGGUUGUAUCAAAAAUGAUAUCAUUCAGAAGUGAGUGACCCACGAGACAUUCACGACGAAAAGCAACUGAAAGUAGACUGACAGAGAAAUGAUUUCGACUUUUUGGAUAGCUUGAGCUGUAGUAUCUUGAAUUUUUAGUGUUAGAUUUUAUUAAGUGUCUUAAGGUACCAGUGUCGGUGUCUUUAGACUUCAGGGCUAUUUUAUAUAUUAAAAAAAAAACAGUUUUUUACAAUCUAUUUUACAAGUCUUUUUAUAUUUUAUUACGAAAUUGUAUCACUAUUACAAAUCACAGUAAUAUGAUAACCAAAAGUGUAUUAUGCAUUAUUCUUUUUAAAUGCAUUUAUUUUAUAAUCCAUAAAGAAAGUGUCAGAAUAAUCCUCAUAUUCCUGCGAAAAUUUAUUAAGACAUUUCCACACGUUUAAAGUCAGUGCAGAGUGCAGAGCUUGGUCCGACUAACUAAAGCAAACUGUCCGUACAAAUGUCAAAUAUCCCAAGUCGAAAGUUGAGCAUUUAAUGUGUCUAGUUACUUUGAAUUCCUUGUAUGCAUUUACUGUUAUUAAAACCCGCCGCCGCUUGCGAUUCUCUUUGCGCGCGCUUUGUAAACUAUUCUCAUUGUAAAAUUGACGAACAACCAAACCUGUAUGUACAUAAUAUCAGUGUUGGGCGUAAUGCAAUUAAUUUGUAAUUGCAUUACGCAUUAAAUUACAUUUAAUGCAAUUACUUGUAAUGCAUUACGCUCGUAAUUGAAUUAAAUUUAAUUUGAAUUACGUGGUAAUUUUUAUUUGAAAUUAUAUUAAUUCGUAAUUGCAUUACUCAAUUAAAUCUAAAAUCGAAAAAAGGGACCUUGUGGCGGAAAAUAAGUUAUCUACGGGAUUGAAAUCUAGAUACAUAUACCUAACUAUUAAUACAAGAAUCAACCCACCUAAAUAUACCGCCAUAAGGUCCCUUUUGUUUUGGACUGACACAAAUAGCGUCCAAAGUUGAAUGUAAGAACUAAAACACGUACUAAAAAACUUACACAAGUAUGUAAAAAAAAUAGUUGAAUAUUUUGAGGAUAACUUCCUUAAAAUUGAGUUGCAAAAUUAAAACACAAACCUACAAACAAGUAUAGCGUGCUAUAUAAAACAAUGAACAUGUUUUACUAAUGAGUAUAAUUUGUAAUGCAUUUUACGAAUUAAAAUCACAAAAUGUAAUUUCUAAUUGCAAUGCAGUGAAGUUAAUGCAAUUAGAAAUUACAUUUCCGUAAUUUCAAUUCAUAAUUCAAAUUACGUUUUUUAAUUGCAUUUCAUAAUUCGUAAUGCAAUUAGUUGUUGCCCAACACUGGUACAUAUAUAUAUUUGAUAAUAAUCUCCUUCCGUCCGCCACAGAUCGGAGUAGUGAUCCAAAAGACUCGAGCCCUGCAAGCCUUUUCUUAGGGCUCGCCUCAAAUCUUGACGCCUAAAAGGCUAAAAGCCUUUUUUAUUUCAUUAGUAAAAUAGGCUUUUAGCCUUUUAGGCGCCAACAGAUGAGGCGAGCCCUAAAAAACCGGGCAAGUGCGAGUCGGACUCGCGCACGAAGGGUUCCGUACCAUAAAGCAAAAAAAAAUAGGGAAAAAAAUGCAAAAAGAAAACGGUCACCCAUCCAAGUACUGACCACGCCCGACGUUUCUUAACUUUGGUCAAAAAUCACGUUUGCUGUAUGGGAGCCCCACUUAAAUCUUUAUUUUAUUCUGUUUUUAGUAUUUGUUGUUAUAGCGGCAACAGAUAUACAUCAUCUGUGAAAAUUUCAACUGUCUAGCUAUCACGGUUCGUGAGAUAUAGCCUGGUGACAGACAGACGGACAGACGGACGGACGGACAGCGAAGUCUUAGUAAUAGGGUCCCGUUUUAUCCUUUGGGUACGGAACCCUAAAAAAGAGCUAACAGGGCUCGAGUCUUUUGGAUCACUAGAUCGGAGUGCGUUCGAGAUGCACUGAGAUUAAUAUCAAAAUAAUAUAACAAACAGGUUAUUUAUUAUUUUGUGGACUUAAAACUUCAAGUUUUUGAACACGGGAGCGCUAUAUUAUUCCUUAACAAGCUUCCUGAGUCCAGGUUCAACUAAUGGGACUGUAAUUUAAGUUAGGACUCCGCGGCCUUAAUAAUUUAUAUAUACAUACAGUAUGUGUCUGACAAUGGGGCUUUAAUGGAAUUAAAGGGCUUGAUUUUACUCGCUAAAGUGAGCUACUUUGACUAUGGUACCAACCCUAAAAUCGGGGAAUUUUUUUUGGCUUUUCCAUAGAAAACGUCGACAUCUGAUCAGGGGGCCGAUUUUUUAAUUUCGACCACUCGAUUUUGUGUAUUUCGUUAAAUAAUAUCUCCAAUACUAGACACUUAAAUUCUACAAAUAGAAUUGAAAUCGAGUGGUUAAUACCACUAGAUUCCAAAUUUCAAUCGCUCGUAUUUAAAAAAUUAGCAUUUCGCCGUUUUCCACCAACAUUCGAGUGACGAAAUCGAGCGAUCGAAAUUCAAAAAUCGGCCCCCCCGACAAAAUGUACGAAAACGUAAAAAAAAUUUCGGGAUUUCGGGGUUGGUGCCAUAAUAAAAGUAGCUCAGUUUAGCGAGUAGAAUCGAGCCCUGGAUUUAAAGCCCGAUGGUCAGUAACACCCUGUAUAUAAACGUUAACCACCAAAAGCUUGAAGUACUUAAUACAUCCGUCUUUCUCGCUCUCUUGGAACUCUUGAAGAGCGAAUUUCUAUCGACAUCGCAAGCGGCCACAAUCGUCACUAAGAUACACUAAAUGCAAAUGAAAACGGGUACUUUUAUUAACAACUACUAUGUUUUCAUUGCUCUUAAGGUGAAACGCAGAAUGUAAACUGUUUCGCUACGAAACUGAGAUAUUUAUCAGUUAAUUAACAAAGGAUUACUCUGCAUUUCACCUCUGCACUCAAAAACAGUCAAAACCGGUAAUUUUUGAUUUCUCUGCAUUGACUGGUUUUGAUUGUACGAAAGUGUAUAUUAUAUUUUUCUAAUGGAAAUUGUCUCUAUAAGAACGUCGCUGUGGUGUAUCGCGAUCUCUUUGUUUAUGACUGAUUUUUUAACUUUUUAUUAGGUUUAUUAUGUACGAUUACUUUAAAAUUUCGCCAAUAUAUAUAGGUAUGAGCGAACAUGUGAGAUAUAUCUGUACGUAUAGUAAAUGUAAGCUCUAUUAUAAGGCCAGUCGAGAGGAUCGCAGACAUUGGCAGAAUGAGAGAUUUAUAACUAUCCCGUUCUACCAGAUAUGUCUGUCUCAUAUAUGUAACAUGCGGUGAUAAAUGGGACGAUUUUCUAUUUAACGCCGAUUUGUUUUCCUUAGAUUUGGAUAAAAUUUGGCAGGUUUGAAGAGGCUCCAAUUCUGGCAGGAAUAAAUACGAAAUCUCAAUCCCAAUAAAGAUUGCAUGUACUUUUUUUCAACGAAAGCUUAUGACUAUGGUAAUUUCGUAAGUUUUUGGGACAUACGGUGAUAUUCCGCUUAUUUUGUACAAAAUAGGGCACUAUCUAUCCACCGAUCUUUAUCAAAUUCUGACGAACAUCCGACAAAAAACUAAAAAAUCGGGCCACACUCCCGCCCGAACCCCUUAUAGUGUGUAUAUAAAUGUAAAUAUUGUAUUAAGGAGCAAAUAUCACGUAUUAUCAAGUUGAGUCGCGAGGAAAGACUGCUAGAGUGAACAAUUAUUAUGUAAACUGUCCUGUUCUUAGUUAAAUGCAUGGAUAAUUGUAAUAAUAGACGUCCAAAAUUAAACGAGGAGUCGUCACGUUAGAACCUUAGUGUCCUCCAUGUUAAAACAUUGCCAUACAUUGUAAGGGUGCAUCCACACCACAGUUAACUUUUGUGUUUUGCAAAUAUAAGUUACCUUAUGCACAGUGUUGCUCUACUAAAUUUAACUGCGGUGUGGAUGCACCUUAAAUAUCCAAUUUGAUCGAAAUUUAAAUACAAUAUAUGGUCCAGUGGUGUCUUUUAUCAAUUAUAACAUGUGUAUAUGCUGCACCUCAAAUAUAUUUUUAAAAAUAUAUUAUUAAAGCUUUAACCCAAAUACCUAGAGUUAGACCAAGAAAAGUCUGUAGGGAUUUUGAUAGCCCACGCAAUGCAAGGGUUAUUUUAAAUGCCAAACUUCUAUGAAAUUAUGGCGUAUAAAUAAAUAAAACUUGCACUGCGUGGGUUAUUAAAAUCACUGCAGAUUUUUAAUGGUCUAACUUUAAGUAUUAACUUCUGCCAAAAAACUGUUUUGUAAAACACAGAAAUGCGACUAUUUAUUGCGAGACGAAUGGUACCCAACAAAUAUUGCUUUUACUGACCCGUCAACAAUGCCCAUUUUGCCCAUCCAUAAUGCGUUUAAUACUCGAUCGUAUUGGAUAUCCACACGGUGUAGGGAAAUGUUGAAUAAACUAUACAGGGUGAUUGGAAAUUCGCCGUAUUCCUUGUAAGGGGUUAUUCUAUGUGUCAUUUGCAAUGAUUUAAGUCCAGUCAACCAGGGGUCAAAACUCCGUGGUGUUCAAGCACAGAACACCGCCUAUAGAAACCUGAUUUUGGCCAUUUAGUUCCCGACGGAAAUCACCAAACUGUGAGGUGCGGGAGGGGUGCUCACGGCGUUGCGAUUGGUCGUUCCAAACAUGGCGCGCUGACAUGUGUAAGCGUAGGGAUGGGACAUGUUCAUUACAGGUAGUGGGUACUGCUACCAGUUAUACCGAAAUUUACUGUGGUAAAAUUGUUAACAAUUUAGUAUAGGUACUUAGAGUAAACUCACUUAAUAAUUAUAUUGAUUAAUUUAAUAUUUCAUUAAGUAAUUUAACAAUGUACCUGAAAAUUUUACUUAACAUUUUAGGGCAUUUCUGUUUAAAGUACCCAGAACUUGAAUUUCAAAGUUUAGAAUUUUUAUAUUAUUUCCACUCAGAAUCGCAAUCUUUCGAUACGAGAAAAAAGUGUCGCUAAAAUCUCAUACAAUUUUCUUUUGUACGUUUUAUUAAGGUCAUAGAAGGUUGUAUCGAAAUCAUAUUCAAAUGGACCAAUAACAUAUGCCUAUUACAAAUCAACUCCGAGUUCUCUCGCACUUCUUUGAAGUUCAUCAUCAGGUCCAUCUCGUGACAUGAGACCUAACUGCUCACCUAGAGGAUUAUAAAAAACCCAUACAACAUAUGUCUAUCACAAACCAACACCGAGUUCCCUCGCACUUCUUUGAAGUUCAUCAUCAGGUCCAUCUCGUGACAUGCGGCCUAACUGCCCCGUUGGCCUAGAGCAGCGGUCGGCAACCUUUUAGCAGCCAAGGGCUACAUAGCAGUCAACGAAAUGGUCGCGGGCCGCACUUUGUUAAUAUUUAUGACUUUAUCGCACCUACCGCAUUACGGCCCGCGGGCUGCUGGUUGCCGACCGCUGGCCUAGAGGAUUCUAAAAAAACUUACACAACAUAUUACCUAUAUAUUAUGUCUAGAAUGGUACAAUACGGUAUGAGUGGUAUGACGGAGCACGAAGUUUCCGCAACUGACGAAACCAUCAUCGUCACAUCACUAGUCGAAAGGGAAAGGGAUAGCAUAUUGCAUUUUCAAGUUGACGAAAAGGGACGGACAUAAUUCGCCUCUGCUUUUUGACCAGUAUAAAAUGAACCCCGCGGACAUGAAACAUUAUUCAAUGAAGUAAUGAAUUUGACUUUCCUGUGGGAUGUUAUUCCAUCUGUUUUGUAAGUAGAAGUCUUAGAUGACUUGCCACACCAUUUUACGCUGCAAUAUCCCAUGAUUUCCCAAUGAAUUGAAUAGUUUACGAUUUAUUUUCUUAGACCCGUGCACACUGCUAACAGGUCGUAACCUUGGGCGCAACUGAUCGGAGUGGCGUCAGUGGCGCGUGAGCAAUCUUAUAUUUGACCUACGAGUAUACACCAUACGGCCGGGACCGCGAGUCGUCCUAUAAGCUCGGUCUAUAGGGCGGUCUACAUUUGUACUUUUUUGGAAAACUGAGAAACUCAUUUCUGUAUUUUGUACGCCAAGUCUCAUACGAUUUUUUUUAAAUAAUGCCUUUAAAUGUUACAAAGUUUGGGGAAAAUUACAAAAAAUUGUGAAUUCAAAUCCUUUUUUUUUUUGAAAAUUUUAGAAAGGUUGGCAAUCUUUUUUUAUUUCACGUAAUCUGCAAUAGUUUAUUGGCUAUUAGAUGAAUGCUUUGUUUAAUUCCAAAUUUCAGUAGUUUUUUCACAAUUACCAUUAGUCGAAAGGCGGGUUUUUUAAACUAAAAACUGAAAUAACUAGAAAACCAAUGAGGUUUGACCCCUGGUUGACUGGACUUAAAUCAUUGCAAAUGACCCACAGAAUAACCCCUUUCAAGGAAUACGGCGAAUUUCCAAUCAACCUGUGUUAAAAGGACGAAAUCUUGUUUACUUCGUACGUUUAUUACUUCAGUAAUAUGUGAAAUAACUGUAAUAAGACUAACCAGGAAGUCAAGGAACCUAUAUAUGUCAUAAUAAAAUAUAUAGAUAUGGGUUAUUUUAUUACAAUGGAUCAAACACAUUAGGCAGUGUUGCACAUUAUGUCUAAAAAUCCAGCUCUAAAAAUGACCUAACAUAGUUACUGAAAUGACAUUGAAAUUUACGUACUAACACGAUAUCGGAGAGUAUUUUGAUAUGAUUAUGUAUCAAGCCAUGUUUUAAGUGAUAUGAACUUAGUGAUUUUAGAUCUGGAUUUUUCUGUGCCAGUACGUACGCGGUGAAAAAUAAAUGCGGAUAUAUUUUCUGUAAAGAACUCGAAAAUAGUGCUACCACAUAUAUGGGUAAUAUAUGAGUAACAUUUGAUUAAAACGUAUUUUUUUGUGUUGCAUUGUUUUAUGUGAUAUGGGGAUAACGAAAACAAUUUUUUUUGGGAAUGAUUAUUUGCUUAAUUCACUUAUUAUUAUUAUAGUUCGUUUUUUAGCAUUAAUAGAAGGUAAGCGAUCUUGACAUGACUUUUAAUUGAAAACACUUUAAAAAUCGGUAACUAGGUAUUACUUAUGAAAGCAGAAGAAUAUAAAUGAUCGUAUUCGAUUCAUAAUUGUUACAUAUUUGCCGUAACUUAUUUUUAAAACGUGUUUUUCAAUUAAAAGACACAUCAAGAUUGUUUACCAUUUAUCUAAUGCUAACGAACUAUACCGGUGCAAUUAAAUUUCGGUUAGUGUUUACCACAUAGUAUAUUUAUUAUUUUUUAUAGUGACCCGGGCGACAUACAUAAAUAUUAUGUGUUAUUUUGUCAAUGGCCACUAAUGCAUUUAUGUUCUCGACGCGUACACAAUAUACUUAAUGUAAAAUAUGAGAUGCAUAAUUAUCGUGUGAUUCCAUGAAACUGCGUCCUGGUAAGUACGCUAGUUUCACGCGAGUUACAUAUAUUAUUUUAAUUUAAAAAAAUCUGAGCCGGCAUUUGUAAAAAGUUAAUAACAACACACGUCUGAUUUCGUUGAAAAUUUAGUAUUUUUUAAGUUAUCUCUUCUCACCGGGGUUGGAAUCAUGAAUUUUGAUCGUUAUAAACGAAGGUUCUACCGCGAAAAACAAAAAUCGAAUUUUCUUUAUCUGCCUCCCUAUCUCGCAUAGUCGAGCGAUAGAUGGGCGGAUAAGGAUAGUUCGGUUAUUGUUUUUCUCGGUAGAGCCUGAGGCCCCGGAGUUUUUAUGGCACAGUCAGAUGGACUCGAAUUUAACAUUAAAACGAGCCACAUUCAUACUUUUGUAAAAGGUGUACAGAUGUAGUGCAUAAUUGUUUACCAUCGUAUUUUCUCGGAAAAAAUCGUAUUUGUCAUGCUACUUCAGUCGGCGACAGUACUUUUUGUACCGAGACUGGCCGAAAUAACAAGAAACGUUCGUACGUUUCCGUGCACUACAUAUGUACUCGCCGUUGCAUAUAAUAUAAAACAGUGUAGGAUGUAUAGGUAGGUACAGUGUAUUAUAUUAAUAAAAAGGUGCCUAUGUAUGAUGACCUGUAGGGCUAAGAUGGUCGGGGCUUUUAUCAUUUGUCAUCAUGCCUGCCACGUUCUGACAAGUAUGCAAGUGCGAAAGUGACGCAUGACAUGACAAGUGAUAAAAAUGCGACCAUGAUUGUGGUCUAUGUAGCCGGUUCAAAUUUUCUUAUUAAAAUAACAAUCAUAUUAUUUCACUAAAUGUUACCACAUAAGAUGCUCGUUGGACUGAAUUGCCGGUUUAAGGGAUACAAAAACUAGCAUAAGUGACAACGCGACACAAAACUACCCUUCUAUUUCCAAACUAUGAACACAGUAUUGUAUUUAGGAACCCGUAUCACGGUGUCGCUUAUUCUAGCCACGCAAGCCUUAUUGAUCGGACUAUUACCCCAGUCAUUCAGUCCUUCGAGUGCGAUUAGUUGACGGCAGAGGUUAGCGACGUUGAAUUUACAAUAGCUUAAAUAAUCAGAUAUCACGAGGGAAAUGAAUAACGUGCGUAGCACUACAUAGUAAUGUUCUAUACCAAAAUAGAUAAUAAAUUCUUUGGUUAUUUUGUAA